GGGUACCUACUAUCAACUAUUAUAGCGACUCAAUUAAAGACCUAAACUGAACUGCUUUGCUUUUUCCUACCAUGAAGUCCUAUAACCGACCAAUUGACGCUGUCACGCAAUAAAAACCUAAAUUGAUCCGCUAACGGCAUCCAUUCAGUCUGUUUUACGUACUGUGAACUUCUAAUGUAACCUAAACUGAAUCGUUAUACUGUCAAAGUGAGCCGACCAAAUAAAGUUACUUUUAUUGUGGCUUGAACUGAAUCGCUUUCACGUAAUUUAUAUUAUUUAAUUGAAUAUAAAUUAGUUAGUAGCAAGUACUUUGCUUAGAAAUACUUUUUUGAACAGUGUUAUAAUGUCUGAUGAACUAAUAAUCUUUGAAUUUCUGGAAUACGACAAUGAAAUAAACACUGAGCGUAAACAAAGAAGACGCUUCAUACGGGAACAAUCGGAUCCUUUCAGUUUGGAGGAUACGGAAUUUAUUAAACGGUAUCGUCUUUCUAAGGAAUUGGUGAUAAAUCUAUGUGCCGAAUUACAGCCAAUGAUUAAAAAACCGACAAAAUCGACAGAUUUGUCGAUAGAAACAAAGGUUUUGACUGCAUUGUCUUUUUACGCAACAGGGUCAUAUCAAAGGCCAAUAGGAGACAUUACCGCUCAUUCAAUGGCACAGCAAACAGUUUCUGCAGUCAUAGCUGAGGUUACUAGGUGCAUUGAUACCCCUGCGAUGAGAAGGAAAUACAUUUCUUUCCCUAAUUCCUUAGAAGAGAGAAAUAAAGUUAGAACAAGGUUUUAUCAAAAAUUAAAUUUUCCUGGGAUACUUGGCUGCAUUGACUGUACACAGGUUGCAAUCAUUAGACCGUCUCAAAAUGAAGAAAGGUUUUAUUGUAGGAAGCACUAUCACUCAUUAAAUGUUCAGUUGAUUUGAGAUGCUGAUAUGAAUAUAACAAGUGUUGACGCUAGUUAUGGUGGUGCCACCCAUGAUUCAUUUAUUUGGAAUGUUCAUCCUUUAAAAUUAUUCUUAGAAAAUCUUGAUGAAACAACAUGGUUACUGGCUGAUUCAGGUUACCCAUUGAGGAAAUACAUGAUGACACCCAUUGUCAAUGCUCUUCCUGACACACCAGAGAAACAUUACACAGAUUUACAAAUAAGAACCAGGAAUGUAAUUGAAAGGACAAUUGGACUCUUAAAAGCUCGUUUUCGAUGUCUUUUAGUGCAUAGAGUAUUGCAUUAUCAACCAAGAGUUGCAGCUUCCAUAGUGAAUACUUGUGUAAUUUUACAUAAUAUUUGCAACAAAGCAAAUAUGCCUGUUUCUAUGC